GGUUGAUCCUGCCAGUAGUCAUAUGCUUGUCUCAAAGAUUAAGCCAUGCAUGUCUCAGUGUAAACUUAUAAACAGUGAAACUGCGAAUGGCUCAUUAGAACAGUUAUAGUUUAUUUGAUAUUCAUUGCUACAUGGAUAACCGUGGGAAUUCUAGGGCUAAUACAUGCGUAAAUACUCGACUUCUGGGAGAGUAGUGUUUAUUAGAUUAAAAACCAAAACCCGUGGUAACACGGACAAAUUGGAAUGAUAAUAACCGAACGAAUCGCUUCACGCGAUAAAUCAUUCAAGUUU
rnacentral:rRNA from 1 species